rnacentral:rRNA from 1 species
GAUGAACGCUAGCGGCAGGCCUAGUACAUGCAAGACGAACGGUAAGUUGAGUAGCAAUACUUAGCCAAGAGUGUCGUACGGGUGCGUAACACGUAUGCAACCUACCCUAUACAGGAGGAUAGCCUAGGGAAACCUGGAUUAACCCUUCAUAGUAUUAUUGGAUGGCAUCAUUUGAUAAUUAAAACUGAGGUGGUAUAGGAUGGGCAUGCGUCUGAUUAGUUAGUUGGCGGGGUAAUGGCCCACCAAGACGAUGAUCAGUAGGGGUUCUGAGAGGAAGAUCCCCCCACACUGGCACUGAGAUACGGGCCAGACUCCUACGGGAGCAGCAGUAGGGAAUAUUGGUCAAUGGAUGCAAGUCUGAACCAGCCAUGCCGCGUGCAGGAAGAAGGCCUUCUGGGUUGUAAACUGCUUUUGCCGGGGGAUAAAAGAUCCAUGCGUGGAGAAUUGAAGGUACCCGGUGAAUAAGCCACGGCUAACUACGUGCCAGCAGCCGCGGU